rnacentral:rRNA from 1 species
GACAGAGGCUGCAAGCGUUAUCCGGAAUGGUUGGGCGUAAAGCGUCUGUAGGUGGCUUUUCAAGUCCGCCGUCAAAUCCCAGGGCUCAACCCUGGACAGGCGGUGGAAACUACCAAGCUGGAGUACGGUAGGGGCAGAGGGAAUUUCCGGUGUAGCGGUGAAAUGCGUAGAGAUCGGGAGGAACAUCAGUGGCGAAGGCGGCCAUCUGGGACAACACUGACGCUGAAGCACGAAAGCGUGGGGAGCAAACAGG